AAUUAACAUGUAAUGAUAAAUAGACAGAUAGAUAGAUAGUAUAAGCUAUUCUUUCUACCAUCUGCCGUACGGAUUUGCUCUGUAGAGCUUGCUGUCCCUGUUACUCAUGGGUAUUUAUGUUCCAAAGCCCCACAUGAGAGAGGGAAGGAUUUCAGGCCCAAGGCCCAAGUGGGGCAAGAAGAAGCACACGCUCACCUCAGUUGCCUUCUUUGCUGAGGCCAGAAGGGCUGAGGUGCUGUUUCCCGAGGAGCUGUUCCAGGACUAGCGAGGAGCCUUUCCAAGCGUCACAGAAGUACGGGCCAGAGUUAACAUGGCAUAGAGUUGUUUGUUGCAUAAUAGAGCUGCUGCUGAUUUCCAAGUG